rnacentral:rRNA from 1 species
GACGAACGCUGGCGGCGUGCCUAACACAUGCAAGUCGAACGGAGAAGUUCAGCAAUGGAUUUCUUAGUGGCGAACGGGUGAGUAACGCGUAGACAACCUGCCUCUAAGCUGGGGACAACAACUCGAAAGGGUUGCUAAUACCGAAUGUGAACAGUGCCUCGCAUGAGAUGCUGUUUGAAGGUGGCCUCUGAAUAUGCUACCGCUUAGAGAUGGGUCUGCGUCUGAUUAGCUAGUUGGAGGGGUAAUGGCCCACCAAGGCGACGAUCAGUAGCCGGUCUGAGAGGAUGAACGGCCACACUGGGACUGAGACACGGCCCAGACUCCUACGGGAGGCAGCAGUGGGGAAUCUUCCGCAAUGGACGAAAGUCUGACGGAGCAACGCCGCGUGAGUGAAGAAGGCCCUCGGGUCGUAAAGCUCUGUCUUCAGGGACGAAUGUGCAGAUUGUGAAUAAUGGUUUGUAAUGACGGUACCUGAGGAGGAAGCCACGGCUAACUACGUGCCAGCCGCCGCCGUAA